UACAGAGGUCUCAAGCGUUGUUCGGAUUCAUUGGGCGUAAAGGGUGCGUAGGCGGCGCGGUAAGUCGGGUGUGAAAUCUCGGAGCUUAACUCCGAAACUGCAUUCGAUACUGCCGUGCUUGAGGACUGGAGAGGAGACUGGAAUUUACGGUGUAGCGGUGAAAUGCGUAGAUAUCGUAAGGAAGCCCAGUGGCGAAGGCGGGUCUCUGGACAGUUCCUGACGCUGAGGCACGAAGGCCAGGGGAGCAAACGGG
rnacentral:rRNA from 1 species